rnacentral:rRNA from 1 species
GACGAACGCUGGCGGCGUGCUUAACACAUGCAAGUCGUACGGUAAGGCCCUUUCGGGGGUACACGAGUGGCGAACGGGUGAGUAACACGUGAGUAACCUGCCCACAACUUUGGGAUAACGCUAGGAAACUGGUGCUAAUACUGGAUAUGUGCUCCUGCUGCAUGGUGGGGGUUGGAAAGCUCCGGCGGUUGUGGAUGGACUCGCGGCCUAUCAGCUUGUUGGUGGGGUAGUGGCCUACCAAGGCGGCGACGGGUAGCCGGCCUGAGAGGGUGACCGGCCACAUUGGGACUGAGACACGGCCCAGACUCCUACGGGAGGCAGCAGUGGGGAAUAUUGCACAAUGGGCGCAAGCCUGAUGCAGCAACGCCGCGGGCGGGAUGACGGCCUUCGGGUUGUAAACCGCUUUCAGCAGGGACGAAGCUUUUUGUGACGGUACCUGCAGAAGAAGCACCGGCUAACUACGUG